UCACUUACCUGGACGGGGUCAAUGAGCGAUCAAGAAGGUCCAUGGCCUAGGUUGGUGACCUCCAUUGCACUUCGGAGGGGUGCCCGCCUAAGGUCGGCCCAAGUGGUCGAGCCUACGUCAUAAUUUGUGGCAGUGGGGGCUUGCGUUCGCGCAGCCCUUG
rnacentral:snRNA from 1 species